rnacentral:lncRNA from 1 species
UGUUUUUAAAUUAAGCAUUUCAAAAGUCAUGGUAUAUCUUUGUAGGUAGCAAUGUCACUAGGAUAAUUAAAAUGUAAUUCAGACAAAGCUUUUUCAUUGUCAAAAUACUCAGUCAAGUAGUUGAAUACUAACGUCUGUUCGGAUAUUUGAUUCAUCGGUUAACCGUGUCUGUCCCUAGUCCCAAUGUCUCCUUUCAGGUAUAUGAAAACUCCCCGCCCAUGCCUACACCAAUCCAAUGAGUUUAAAAUGUGUUGGAAGUAGUGAACGAGACCACAGUUCAGGAGGAAGGAGAGAUAAUUGGGACGUAACCUUAGUUGAGAGCUCUAGUGUUAGUGUAUCAGCUGGUUAGGUAAAGGAAGCCAUAAACUCUCAAUAAUUCCCGAGACUGGAGACAAAGGCUCAUGUUCACUGCUGGGUGUCGAUAAAAGGUAGCAUUAGGCUGCCCUUGGAGGCAUUACCUCCCCACACACACACAAGCAGGUGCCGCACACAGACACACACACACAUACCUUCUCCCACAUCCGUCAUUAGUGGUUGUGACAGAGACAGUCGAAUCAAAUAAGUUGAGAGGAAGGCGUAGUGCCCCCCCCACCCGGCCCUCGCUGUGUUCCCAUCAGCGCCAGUUCACUGAAGCUCCCCUCAGUCUCCCCCUCUGUGUACGAGGAUAAGUAGCUCUGAAGAAGGGACGCUAUAUGACUGCCUGGGUCGUAUUCAUUAUUAGGCACCAAACAGAGGAAAGCGGACUGAAAAAGGAAGGGACCACCUGAACUUAAUUUUCCGUUGCAGAACGUUUUGCUACCGUGUGCCCUAAUGAAUACAACCCAGUUCUAACGGGAUGAUGUAGCCCUAAUGAAUACGACCCAGUCCUAACGGGAUGGUGUAGCCUUAAUGAAUACGACCCAGUGCUAACGGGAUGUAGCCCUAAUGAAUACGACCCAGUCCUAACGGGAUGAUGUAGCCCUAAUGAAUACGACCCAGUCCUAACGGGAUGAUGUAGCCCUAAUGAAUACGACCC